GGUACAAUGACCAGGUAUAUAACGUCUUACCUUUUUGCAGUUCUUGUCCUUCCCAGGGUUUUGAAUGCAAUUUCCUGUUUGGCUUGAAGAUUUCCAGGUGCCAGAUAUUACCCAGCCACGUGUCUGCAAUUACCUGCAUGGGUGGCCCCGCCCACUCAUUGUGAACAGCUGAUCCACAUCCAAUCUCAGGAGUGUAUAAGCAAUGUGGAGCUCUACACGAACCAGCUCCUAAUUGCUUAAUUGGCUCCACCUGCCCACAGCCCUAUUGAAGCACUGUCGCAGCAGAAUGGAGAAGAGGAACGAAGAUCUGAGCAGCUCAUAGUGUCCUUG